GACGAACGCUGGCGGCGUGCUUAACACAUGCAAGUCGAACGGUGAUGCUCCAGCUUGCUGGAGUGGAUCAGUGGCGAACGGGUGAGUAACACGUGAGCAACCUGCCCCAGACUCUGGAAUAAGCGCUGGAAACGGCGUCUAAUACUGGAUACGAGAAGGGUCCGCAUGGGCACUUUCUGGAAAGUUUUUCGGUUGGGGAUGGGCUCGCGGCCUAUCAGCUUGUUGGUGAGGUAAUGGCUCACCAAGGCGACGACGGGUAGCCGGCCUGAGAGGGCGACCGGCCACACUGGGACUGAGACACGGCCCAGACUCCUACGGGAGGCAGCAGUGGGGAAUAUUGCACAAUGGGCGAAAGCCUGAUGCAGCGACGCCGCGUGAGGGAUGACGGCCUUCGGGUUGUAAACCUCUUUCAGCAGGGAAGAAGCGAAAGUGACGGUACCUGCAGAAGAAGCACCGGCUAACUACGUG
rnacentral:rRNA from 1 species